CACACUCCCUGUCUUCAUAGUUGGUCGCUGCAGCGUUUAGUGGAGAGGGCCUCAGCGCUUCAGUAGAUUAUAUGGAGGGAGCCAGCGAACCUGGGGGGACUUGAGCUGAUGUGAAAGGCUGGGCUGAGAAUGCUUCAGACCCUGAAAUUGAGUCGCUGUUGGGAUUUGCUUUUGAGCCUCUGAUUUGCAGUUGGCAUAUUUAUAGGAGACCCCGAACUAUUAAAGGAUGUGCUCCCGGGCUUCUUGCCAAAGCAUCCCUGGCUCGGUUCCUUCCACAGCUUGCCAAGGUUUGACUGCCCUGGGUUGCAGCCUUACAGCCAAGGGACACUUGGAGGCCCCAAGAUAGCCCUGGGAAAAGUGUCAAAAGCAAUGGCCUUAAUGUUUAGAAAGGCACCAUGCUAGAGGUGUUAUCAGAUCUCAGGAACCCUGGGUGAGGAGUGCCGGGCCACUGGGGCCUUUUAAUGAUUCAACACUCUGCCAUGAGUUGAGAAGUCCGAGGCCUGACUGAAAUCCAUUGUGUGUAGACUUUCCAAACCUGCUUCUAGCCACAUAAAAUGGGAAUGAAUGCAUCUGUCUCUUAGAGUUAUUUUAUUUUAUUUUAUUUUUUGAGAGUUCUUAGAGCAGGUCUAUGGCCACUGAAUGGCAUACAUUGUGACACUCAGCCAUCAAAUACCAGGAAUUGUUAGUCUACUCUGAAAAGAAAUGAGACCUCAGGAGAGCCAACAGCACUGACUUCAGUGAAAUGAUCUAUCAUGUGCCACUGAAGAAGCAUUGGAGAGACUAUAGAAAUAUCAACAUCCUGAAAAUAUUGUUUGAGCUGCCUGACUGGGCUCCAUUAACAAGCUGGACUCCGCGAAAAGUUUCUUGUCAUGGAUGUCUGUCACUCCCUAGCCAGCCAGACUCACACCAUAUUUGGGACAGCCAGUACUGUGGUUUGAAUAUGAGGUUGUCCACAUAAGCUCAUAUGUUUGGACACUUGAUUCCUAGCUGGUUGUGCUGUUUAGGAAGGUUACAGAAUAUGUAUGGGCUGGAGCCUGGCUGGAGGAAGUGCACCAAUUGGGGCUGACUUUGAGAUUUAUAGUCUGACUCGGGCUUGCUUCUCUUUCUGUUUUUUUUUUUUUCUUCUGUGUGUGUGGAUACAAGGUCAUCAGCCAGUUCUAGUACCUGCUGCUUGCUGUGCGUUCCCUACCACAAUGGACUCUAUGCCUCUGAACUAUAAAUAAACCCUUUCUGAAUCAAUGACA